rnacentral:rRNA from 1 species
AGUGAACGCUGGCGGUAGGCCUAACACAUGCAAGUCGAACGGCAGCACAGUAAGAGCUUGCUCUUACGGGUGGCGAGUGGCGGACGGGUGAGGAAUACAUCGGAAUCUACUUUUUCGUGGGGGAUAACGUAGGGAAACUUACGCUAAUACCGCAUACGACCUACGGGUGAAAGCAGGGGAUCUUCGGACCUUGCGCGAUUGAAUGAGCCGAUGUCGGAUUAGCUAGUUGGCGGGGUAAAGGCCCACCAAGGCGACGAUCCGUAGCUGGUCUGAGAGGAUGAUCAGCCACACUGGAACUGAGACACGGUCCAGACUACUACGGGAGGCAGCAGUGGGGAAUAUUGGACAAUGGGCGCAAGCCUGAUCCAGCCAUACCGCGUGGGUGAAGAAGGCCUUCGGGUUGUAAAGACCUUUUGUUGGGAAAGAAAAGCAGCAGGUUAAUACCCCGCUGUUCUGACGGUACCCAAAGAAUAAGCACCGGCUAACUUCGUG